AAUGGCUCAUUAAAUCAGUUAUCGUUUAUUUGAUAGUACCUUACUACUUGGAUAACCGUGGUAAUUCUAGAGCUAAUACAUGCUAAAAACCCCGACUCACGAAGGGGUGUAUUUAUUAGAUUAAAAACCAAUGCCCUUCGGGGCUCUUUGGUGAUUCAUAAUAACUUUUCGAAUCGCAUGGCCUUGCGCCGGCGAUGGUUCAUUCAAAUUUCUGCCCUAUCAACUUUCGAUGGCAGGGUCUUGGCCUGCCAUGGUUACAACGGGUAACGGAGGGUUAGGGCUCGACCCCGGAGAAGGAGCCUGAGAAACGGCUACUACAUCCAAGGAAGGCAGCAGGCGCGCAAAUUACCCAAUCCCGAUUCGGGGAGGUAGUGACAAUAAAUACUGAUACAGGGCUCUUUUGGGUCUUGUAAUUGGAAUGAGUACAAUUUAAAUCCCUUAACG
rnacentral:rRNA from 1 species